GUAAUGCAAUCAGAAUUCCCCAUGACUUCGUUUUCGUAACCUGUAGCAGACGAAAAAUAAUAUUCCAAGAAUUUUACUUAUAUUUAAAAAACGGUUUGAACAAAUCUACAUUAUUACAAGGAAUUAGAAAAAUGUGCUUCAUCGUCGUUAUAAGUAUUGAUAUGACUUAUACUGAAAUUCAAUAAGUAAUAUACAUUACUGAUUUACGAAUAAAUGCAUUUAAAUGAUUUUAAUUCAUUAACAACAACUUGGCAUUAAAAUUUUCAUCAACAACAGAUCUCUUGCGGAUAAGAAAUAUGCAAAUAUGUACAUACAUCCGUCAAAAUGUACUUUUCUGUUAAAUUUAAUAUGAUUCACAGAUUUAAUGAUGGGAAGUUAAGGGAAAUUGGGAGCCUCACAACAACUUAUGGUCACAAAAAUAUGGUAUACGUUUAUUUAUAAUAUAUUAUAUAAAGAACUAAAAAUUUAA
rnacentral:lncRNA from 1 species